rnacentral:tRNA from 1 species
GGGUUCAUAGCUCAACUGGAUAGAGCAGCGGCCUACGAAGCCGCAGGUUGGAGGUUCGAGUCCUCCUGGGCCCA